GAUAAACGCUGGCGGCGUGCCUAAUACAUGCAAGUCGAGCGAACGGACGAGAAGCUUGCUUCUCUGAUGUUAGCGGCGGACGGGUGAGUAACACGUGGAUAACCUACCUAUAAGACUGGGAUAACUUCGGGAAACCGGAGCUAAUACCGGAUAAUAUUUUGAACCGCAUGGUUCAAAAGUGAAAGACGGUCUUGCUGUCACUUAUAGAUGGAUCCGCGCUGCAUUAGCUAGUUGGUAAGGUAACGGCUUACCAAGGCAACGAUGCAUAGCCGACCUGAGAGGGUGAUCGGCCACACUGGAACUGAGACACGGUCCAGACUCCUACGGGAGGCAGCAGUAGGGAAUCUUCCGCAAUGGGCGAAAGCCUGACGGAGCAACGCCGCGUGAGUGAUGAAGGUCUUCGGAUCGUAAAACUCUGUUAUUAGGGAAGAACAUAUGUGUAAGUAACUGUGCACAUCUUGACGGUACCUAAUCAGAAAGCCACGGCUAACUACGUGCCAGCAGCCGCGGUAAUACGUAGGUGGCAAGCGUUAUCCGGAAUUAUUGGGCGUAAAGCGCGCGUAGGCGGUUUUUUAAGUCUGAUGUGAAAGCCCACGGCUCAACCGUGGAGGGUCAUUGGAAACUGGAAAACUUGAGUGCAGAAGAGGAAAGUGGAAUUCCAUGUGUAGCGGUGAAAUGCGCAGAGAUAUGGAGGAACACCAGUGGCGAAGGCGACUUUCUGGUCUGUAACUGACGCUGAUGUGCGAAAGCGUGGGGAUCAAACAGGAUUAGAUACCCUGGUAGUCCACGCCGUAAACGAUGAGUGCUAAGUGUUAGGGGGUUUCCGCCCCUUAGUGCUGCAGCUAACGCAUUAAGCACUCCGCCUGGGGAGUACGACCGCAAGGUCGAAACUCAAAGGAAUUGACGGGGACCCGCACAAGCGGUGGAGCAUGUGGUUUAAUUCGAAGCAACGCGAAGAACCUUACCAAAUCUUGACAUCCUUUGACAACUCUAGAGAUAGAGCCUUCCCCUUCGGGGGACAAAGUGACAGGUGGUGCAUGGUUGUCGUCAGCUCGUGUCGUGAGAUGUUGGGUUAAGUCCCGCAACGAGCGCAACCCUUAAGCUUAGUUGCCAUCAUUAAGUUGGGCACUCUAAGUUGACUGCCGGUGACAAACCGGAGGAAGGUGGGGAUGACGUCAAAUCAUCAUGCCCCUUAUGAUUUGGGCUACACACGUGCUACAAUGGACAAUACAAAGGGCAGCGAAACCGCGAGGUCAAGCAAAUCCCAUAAAGUUGUUCUCAGUUCGGAUUGUAGUCUGCAACUCGACUACAUGAAGCUGGAAUCGCUAGUAAUCGUAGAUCAGCAUGCUACGGUGAAUACGUUCCCGGGUCU
rnacentral:rRNA from 1 species